CACUUUACAACCGUGGAACACAAAUAAUACUUCUCUUGGAGAAGUUUUUCAUUCCCAAGGCCGUCUCCCUGAGACCCAAGAGUUCAGAGGCAUCGCAGGGUGUUGCUGAGUUGUGUUUCUUAAGCCCGCAGAGCCCCACUUCACGUUCACUCGCGCCCAAAGCGCUCCAACGUGCGCUGAUCUCGUACUGACUUCCAGCAUCCUCUGCCCGGACCGCAGCCGCUUUACCACGUCUUACGUUCCCUUCUGAUCGACCCAGUUACACUGGCUCCUGGGACCUGGGCUGGGUUCCCCCCUGCCCCCUGCCCUCGGCAGGACCGCUGAUCGCAAACAUAGGGGCACGUCGGAGUUCCCGUAUUUCUCACAAAAGAAACCCAAGCUGACUUGUGUGUGGCACAUGCGUCUGUAACGUCCUGAAAGUGCGCCACGGCCCCUGGCCCAUUCGGACGAGCGUCGGCCCCACAUUCUGUCCUCCACCGCCCUGCUGAGGUCGCCGGAUAAAAUACAGAAUGCCCAGUUACAUUUGAACUUCGGAUCAACAAGAAAUCAUGUUCCGGGCCUCACGCUCCGUGGAACCCGAAACAAACACAAGACAAACCAGAAACACCUCCCCCGAACGCAGACCAUAUUCCGGCGUUCCCUUGAAGCAGGAAGAUGUGCCUGUUUUCAGGUAGAUUUUAGGAGAGUCCUGGUAAACGGGAGACAUAGCCUUUCCGAAGCAUCAUUUUCCUGUUGCGUAGACGUGCAGGGUGACUCGGGGAUAAAUAUUUCAGCUCUUCGUCAUGGUCACUGUUUUUCUCUCCUGCUUAUCACAAGACAUUCUUUAAAGGCUGAAAUUACAGUCACCUUUGCUGAAAAGCAGGAUUCCCCGGCAGGUGAUAGGCAUCAGAAUGAUCUCCAAAUCGCGGAAAAAGCCGCUCCCAGGAAUGUUUCCAGUUCUUUGGUUACGCCGCCUCCGCUUACCCUCCCUCUGGUAACUGUGUCUCGUUGCCCUACUGCAGAGCGGCCAUCCUCCCCCAAUCCCAGUUCACGGGAUCUGAGCAAAGCUUAUCGUCCGCCCCUCCUUUUUGUAAAGGCUGAGCACGUGACUGGGACUUCACACGCUCCUUGCCCACAGGGGUUGGCCGUGGGACAUAGGUGCUGCCCAGCCGGAGCCUGUGAUACAGGGAUUCUGUUCUGCUGGAAGUGCGAGCUUGAAGGGGAUGUACCAUCUAGCGUCGCUGGCAGCCAUUUUGUUGCUAUGAGGGAAGAGCCUGCGAAGAGAACCAACAAUAAGACAGAGAGAGAGAGAGAGAGAGAGAAAUAGGCUUUGUUGAUGUUCUGUAAGGUCCUCAUCCAGUCUUCCCGGCCAGACUUGCCCUUCCAUUUUUCAGUCACGUGAUCCAAUACUCUUUUCUUAGCCAGAUCAAGGUCCUCGUCACUUACCACCAAAGACAUUGCAACUUAUACAAAAGGGAAGGGAACGGAAAACACCUGCUGGGUGGGAAGCCCCUCGGAGGAGCCACCAGCUUCAUCCUGGCUAAUGAUAUUUCCCAGGGCGCCCGGGUGGCUCAGUCAGUUAAGCGUCCGACUUCGG